GGCGGACGGGUGAGGAAUACAUCGGAAUCUACUCUGUCGUGGGGGAUAACGUAGGGAAACUUACGCUAAUACCGCAUACGACCUACGGGUGAAAGCAGGGGAUCUUCGGACCUUGCGCGAUUGAAUGAGCCGAUGUCGGAUUAGCUAGUUGGCGGGGUAAAGGCCCACCAAGGCGACGAUCCGUAGCUGGUCUGAGAGGAUGAUCAGCCACACUGGAACUGAGACACGGUCCAGACUCCUACGGGAGGCAGCAGUGGGGAAUAUUGGACAAUGGGCGCAACCUGAAUCCAGCCAUACCGCGUGGGUGAAGAAGGCCUUCGGGUUGUAAAGCCCUUUUGUUGGGAAAGAAAUCCAGCUGGCUAAUACCCGGUUGGGAUGACGGUACCCAAAGAAUAAGCACCGGCUAACUUCGUGCCAGCCGCCGCG
rnacentral:rRNA from 1 species